rnacentral:lncRNA from 1 species
UAAAUACUUUAAAUUAAAGAUCAAAUUUAUUCAUUACAUUCUUAUAGGUCGAGGAGUCUAUUUGUAAAAAAUCAUCAAAAUCGAAGAUAAAAUAACCGUUAAAUUGUGAUUUUUCGUUUAUAACCGUCGAAAACUUUUGUUCCAUUACGUAAUCUCUGAAUGUUUAUUUUUUACAAUUUUUUACGUAUGCGAUCUCGGAAUGUGUACAAAUAAGUUUGACGGUUGGAUCGUUGAAAAAAGUUUCGUAGAAUGCAUAUUGCGUCAAAACGGUAGAUUAAACAAACACUUAGAGUUAAUAUUAUACUUCUAUUAAGUAUAAAAUAAGUUUUUGUGGUAUCCACUAGUGUAAAUACUUUAAAUUAAAGAUCAAAUUUAUUCAUUACAUUCUUAUAGGGUCGAGGAGUGUAUCUGUAAAAAAUCAUCAAAAUCAGAGCUAAAAUAACCGUUAAAUUGUGAUUUUUCGUUUAUAACCGUCGAAAACUUUUGUUCCGUUACGUAAUCUCUGAAUGUUUGUUUUUUAUGAUUUUUUACGUAUGCGAUCUCGGAAUGUGUACAAAUAAGUUUGACGGUUGGAUCGUUGAAAAAAGUUUUGUAGAAUGCAUAUUGCGUCAAAACAGUAGAUUAAACAAACACUUAGAGUUAAUAUUAUACUUCUAUUAAGUAUAAAAUUCCACUAGUGUAAAUACUUUAAAUUAAAAAUCAAAUUUAUUCAUUACAUUCUUAUAGGUCGAGGAGUCUAUUUGUAAAAAAUCAUCAAAAUCGAAGAUAAAAUAACCGUUAAAUUGUGAUUUUUCGUUUAUAACCGUCGAAAACUUUUGUUCCAUUACGUAAUCUCUGAAUGUUUAUUUUUUACGAUUUUUUACGUAUGCGAUCUCGGAAUGUGUAACAAAUAAGUUUGACGGUUGGAUCGUUGAAAAAAGUUUCGUAGAAUGCAUAUUGCGUCAAAACGGUAGAUUAAACAAACACUUAGAGUUAAUAUUAUACUUCUAUUAAGUAUAAAAUAAGUUUUUGUGGUAUCCACUAGUGUAAAUACUUUAAAUUAAAGAUCAAAUUUAUUCAUUACAUUCUUAUAGGGUCGAGGAGUGUAUCUGUAAAAAAUCAUCAAAAUCAGAGCUCAAAUAACCGUUAAAUUGUGAUUUUUCGUUUAUAACCGUCGAAAACUUUUGUUCCGUUACGUAAUCUCUGAAUGUUUGUUUUUUAUGAUUUUUUACGUAUGCGAUCUCGGAAUGUGUACAAAUAAGUUUGACGGUUGGAUCGUUGAAAAAAGUUUUGUAGAAUGCAUAUUGCGUCAAAACAAUAGAUUAAACAAACACUUUUAAUAUUAUAAUUCUAUUAAGUAUAAAAUUCCACUAGUGUAAAUACUUUAAAUUAAAGAUCAAAUUUAUUCAUUACAUUCUUAUAGGUCGAGGAGUGUAUCUGUAAAAAAUCAUCAAAAUCGGAGAUAAAAUAACUGUUAAAUUGUGAUUUUUCGUUUAUAACCGUCGAAAACUUUUGUUCCAUUACGUAAUCUCUGAAUGUUUGUUUUUUACGAUGUUUUACAUAUGCGAUCUCGGAAUGUGUACAAAUAAGUUUGACGGUUGGAUCGGUGAAAAAAGUUUCGUAGAAUGCAUAUUGCGUCAAAACGGUAGAUUAAACAAACACUUAGAGUUGAUAUUAUACUUCUAUUAAGUAUAAAAUAAGUUUUUGUGGUAUCCACUAGUGUAAAUACUUUCAAUUAAAGAUCAAAUUUAUUCAUUACAUUCUUAUAGGGUCGAGGAGUGUAUCUGUAAAAAAUCAUCAAAAUCGGAGCUAAAAUAACUGUUAAAUUGUGAUUUUUCGUUUAUAACCGUCGAUAACUUUUGUUCCGUUACAUAAUCUCUGAAUGUUUGUUUUUUACGAUUUUUUACGCAUGCAAUCUUGGAAUGUGUACAAAUAAGUUUGACGGUUGGAUUGUUGAAAAAAGUUUUUGGACCGCCAGCAAUAGAUAGUUUUGUAGUAGUGAAACCUUAAGUUUAUUUAACCGUCGAUUGUCAUUUACGCUUUAUUCUUCUUACUGAAUUUCAUUUUUAAAAUUUUAUUUUUUGAAAACAUGAUCAUUUGGCAGAUGUAAGAAGAUGAUAUCAUGUUUCGAUAUUUACGGUUAACUGAAAUAUGAGUCAAUGUCAUAUAAUUUGUAGAAACUU